rnacentral:lncRNA from 1 species
AGAACACAUUCAUGUUGGGGCAGGGAUANACCAGGCUGUGAGCCUGAAUCUAAACACCUUUGCAGCAUGAUAAGGAGAAAUAUUAUUAACAUACUAGUGUCCAGAACAGAUAAGAUUCCUAGGGUGGGUGGUUGGUUUCUUUAUGAAACUCUGCAUAUUGAGCUAGAUGUACCAGAUGAUUCUAUAGAGGAGUGAGACUGCUUUUUGUACAUAUAUAUAAAUAUAUAUAUNUUNNAAAUANCUNCAAAUGGAGGGCUUAGAAAAGGACCAUUCAUAUUCGGGAAAUCCACAGAAACCAGUGGCUGCNGCGGAAGAGUAUGCAGUUCCAGAAGUUAUUGUCACACGCCGUUUGAGAGAUCGGGAGCUGCUCAGAAAAAGGAAAGCUGAAGCAGAAGAAAAAGAAUUAUACCAAGAACAGAAAAAGAGCAAGUCCUCACGGAGGGGAAGAGGAACAAAGAAAGCCAGAGGCCAACAGCAGGUUCUAGAGCAGCAGCCAGAACCAGAAGGUCCUGAAGAGAAGCCUGAGGAACAGGUGACCAAGCUGGAAGAGAAAGCUGAGACUACAUUGGCGUUCCAAGUGGAGACAUCUAUCCCUCUUCUGGAAACUGGAGAACCAUAUCCUCAGAAGGAAGAACCUGAGGUAGCCCCAACUGAAAGUGCUGUUUUUUCAGUAGAACUAGAGGAGACACCAAGAUCAGAAGAACCAGAAGUCCCUCAGUCCCUGGAAAAUGAUCAUUUGGAACACCAGUUCUAUGGGUCUUUUUAAUUUGAAAGAUGAGAUGAAUGCAGUAAUUGUUGCUGUUCACAUUAUACCUGCUGUUUUGGGUGAACAAUAAAAGCCUGUGACCCCUACUUCUUUCA